UAGAAGCACCACGUCUGAAAGGGUAAACGCAUCCAAAGAAAGAGCAAGGCUGAGUGGAGUAAAACGGAGCAGAAAGCCGUGGACAAAUUGAGAAAUUAGGAACGCGUGGUGAGGAUCCUCUGAGGACCAAGCAGUGAGGCGAGACCUAUUACAACACAUGGCACCAAACAGCUGUGCUGAACUGCUGUUGAGAAAGGGAAGGAUUUGAUUUCUUUGCCAAUUGGCUCUAGUUCCAUGGGAAAGCCAGCCAGCAUCAUCCCAGCAUGAUACAGCCUGGUCUGGCAGUCCUCCAUACAUCCUGCAGACGCCCCACUGGCCUCUUUUACAACAGGAAUCCACAGGUCCUCCUGUACAGUGAGGAGCCGGUCCAAAAUAUGAGCUCUGGAGGUAUGGUUUACCCUCCACGUCCUGACGGCUGCCCUCGCAGUCACAUCAUGACUGGCUCCACGUAUUGCUGCAUACAUUUCCAUGCCUUUGUUGGCAAAAGCCACUGGGAAAGGAAAAGGGGAAAGGGGCAAAGUGGAGCAAAUAAACGUAGAGGAGAGCGUGUCAUUCCUAGACUUAAACAGCUCCUUCUGUACGCCAUUCACCUUCACCGACCGCUACAGAACACACACACACACUUGCUUCUGUUUUUGACCUUACAAAGCCAUCACUGUUGAGGGCAAAGGUAAAGCAGAUGCGAUCGUCUCAUUACUAUUCUCUCAACAAAAGAGUGCGGAUGAAUAAACAGCGUCCAUCAGGCGGCCGGACUGAAAGAGGUAUUUCUGAAGGGGUCAGGAAAAGGUGAAUGUAACCGUGUCAGAACCAGAAGCGAGGGUAUUGGUAGUCAACAGUAAACAACAGGUGGACAGAUGGUACAAUUGGCCUGAGACCUUAUGAGCAGAAACUUUUUGAUGCCAUCUUUACUGCAGACUUUUUGUUGCGUCGAUAUGCUUCUAAAUCCUUUUGUAUCGAACACAAAAUGCUACUUUCAGGUUAGUCUAUGACAUUGUCUAUAGCUGUCUUGCUCUCUUUCUUAAGCACACACACACAAGUUCGCACACACCUGCGCACUUCCUUACCUCAUGCCUUGAGCAAUCCAGUCUUUCUGACAGGGGAGGAACGGAAACACAGAGCUUGAGACAGCAGAUGGCUCCUCUUACCUUACUUGACUCAGGCACCUGCCUUAUAAAAUAAUCAUGGUAAUCAUUCGGUAAACGAGACAUUUAAUCAUCCAACGUUUAAGAAUCCACACACAGGCCAUACGUAAAACUCCAUUUAUAUGUGAUACUGAAAAAUUAAACGCGUUUAUUUUGUUAACUAAAAGCCAUCAAUUAUACAGUGAAUGUUACGAGCAGAAGCUUGGCUCCGGCUCUGACAUCUUUACGGAGCAUGCAAGAGGGUCCAGAGUGUUUAAAUAACAACGCGGUACAUGUAUGGCCCGGCUAAGUGAAAGGGAGACUUGGGUGGUGUGUUUUAGUGUCACCCUCUCUGUAUAUGUGUGUAUGCAGCACCUGGGUCGUGGUGCUACCUGCAGUAGAAUCCUGAUUGGUUUUGUUAAAUAAUGCAUGGCUCUAAGGACAGGCCUUUGAUAAAGUGAAGCACAAGAGUACAUGAAUAAA